rnacentral:snoRNA from 1 species
UACACUUCACCAACACUCUGGCCCUUACUUCCAGUCUUCGGACUGGACCCAUGGCAUGGGCCUAUUUUGGUGUGAAGAAGAGGAACGAACCCAUUACUCACCGCGGUAGUCUUGCCUUUGGUUUGGCUUCAGCGGUCCAUCUUUUAGGGUCGACAU